GAAAUACAAAACGGACUAGGAUAUAGCUGGUUUUCUGCGAAAAUUGUUUUGGCAAAUUGUUUAUUCCUCUAAAAAAUAGUAGGUAUAGCACUGAAUAUCUCGAGGGAGUAUGAAAAUAUUUAUCUCAGAUAUUUAAUCUCAAAAUAACUAUUUCUUAAAAUAAAUAAUCAGACUAUGUGCGAUAAGGUAGAUAGUCGAAAGGGAAACAGCCCAGAACAGUAAUUAAAGCUCCCCAAUUAAUAUUAAGUGAA
rnacentral:rRNA from 1 species